GCUAGGAUAGCUCAGGUGGUAGAGCAUCAGACUUUUAACCUGAGGGUCCAAGGUUCAAGUCCCUGUUUGGGCA
rnacentral:tRNA from 1 species